GUAUACUUACGGCUAGGUAACAAAACAAUAUUCUCGUAAUCGGAUUGCAAAAUUGACUGCUUAAAAAUACGUCCUGCAACUCUGUAAUGCGUUUUCUGAAAUUUGCAGGAUUAGUGGUAUCUCCUUCGCACAAUCCGACGCAUGUGUCCUACAUCCCCAAUGCGUCACCGUAGGACGUGAGUACACGACGUUCGGAGUUCGAACCGAUACUCAUAUCAAGCGAUUCGACGAGUGGCGGCUCAGAUGAUGAAACGGAUAGUGUGAUGAUGUCACGUUUGUCCAGUUCGUCAUUAUCGUCGUAAAUAUUUUUGAU